ensembl:snRNA U6 U6 spliceosomal RNA
CAGCUCCAGAAGCACAUAUACUAAAACUGGAAUGAUACAGAGAUUAACAUGGCCCCUGCUCAAGGAUGACAGGCAAAUUUGUGAGGCUUUCCAUAUUAAA